GACGAACGCUGGCGGCGUGCUUAACACAUGCAAGUCGAACGGAAAGACCCUGCUUUUGUGGGGUGCUCGAGAGGCGAACAGGUGAGUAACACGUGAGUAACCUCCCCUUAACUUUGUGAUAACAUCAGGGAACUGGGGCUAAUACCCGAUAGGAGCUCCUGCUGCAUGGGGGUGGUUGGAAAGUUUCGGCGGUUGUGGCUGGACUCGCGGCUUAUCAGCUUCUUGGGGGGGUAGUUGCUUACCAAGGCUUCGACGGGUAGCCCGCCUUGGAGGGUGGACGGCCACAUUAGGACUGCGAGACGGCGCAGUAGCCAACCGUCCGCAGUAGUCGAGAGUAUGGCACAGUGGGGGGACGCCAGAUGCAGCAGUGCCGCGUGCGGGAUGAUGGGCUUCGGGUUGUAAACCGCUUUCGCCUGUGACGAAGCGGGAGUGACGGUAACGGGUAAAGAAGCACCGGCUAACUACGUG
rnacentral:rRNA from 1 species